GUGGCUCAGGGUGCAAAGCAGACAUAACAGCUUGGUGUUUCACCAUGGUGGAUGUUAUAAAAUGGUAAAACAGUUGAUGAAGAGACCACUCAAAGAAGAAAAUUCAGUUUUAUUUGUUGAAGCUGGGUUCAGUGUCCAGGUCUUGAGAUAACACUUAAUAGUCAAUGAACUGUACGCGUGUGGGAGCCACUGGAAGUGGAGAUACCAUGGUGAGAGUUCUGGACACCAGUGGGAACUCAAGGACAACCUCCCAGGGGUUGUGGGACCCGCUGUGUGAGGUCUAAUUGCCCAAAGCAAUGGCAGAAGGAUACCACGACUCUCCCCCAGGAGCUGCCAGCCCUCGGGAGACGCAGACGGGUCCCUGGUUCUGGGAGUGAAUGUCUCUUGGUCCUGGUUCUCCCACACUGGAGGUUUCCCAGCGUCGUUGGUGGCUCCCCAGCUGCUCCUCUCCUCCUCCUCCUCAGCAGGAGCAUCGCGUUGUGGACCGAGCAGGGACAUCCUGGUGAAGCUGCUGUGAGCUCACGGUAAGACAGAGAGCAUUUCAGAGCAAAGGAAAGAAGAGGAUCAGAUGCAACAGUCCUAAUGAAUAAUUAGAAAUAGAUCAAGACUGCUUCUUUCAAGAUAAUGGUAAAAAUAAAAGCUCACAGCUACAUGAGUAGCACCAUUUAUUUUAGCACUGGUAAUAUCCCUAAACUACAUACUAUUCCCAAUACGUUAUGAUAAAAUUACACGUAUUAGGAGUCUUUAUUGGAUUUAAAAAAAAAUAAUAAUUAGAAUAGCUUAAGAACAACUUCAAGUAACACAGACAAGAUCACAGAGAAGGCAGAAAUUACAUUUUUGCUCUGUGCCUGGGGGCACCUCUGGCUGCUCUGGGGAGGGGCUGUGCCUGGGCAGGGGGGUUUGACACCCUCUGGGACUGAGUGAAGGGGAAGGGACGCGGGGGUUUAUCUUUGGAGGCAGAGCCAAGGUCAUCGCCGCUGCUGUCGGCGCCUACAGCCCGUUGCACCCUCGGAGCCCUGUGUCUGCCACCCCUCCUCUGCUGCUGCCGCUGAUCUUCCCUUGGCAACAGCUCAUGAAGAGGGAAUAAGGGUGGGGGGAGUGAAGUUAAUCACCAUGUUAGAGUCAGAGGAAGUGAAAUAACUCCGGUUCCAGGCAGAGGGCUGCGGUGUUGGCUUGGCUCCUGUCCCUCCUCUCCAUCCCUCCUGCCACCAACGCGAGGGCUGUGGCAGAGCCCCAGGUCCCUCCCUGCUGGAGAAGCUGCCCACACCUCCCUCCAUGAUGGUUCUUCUCCCCUGGAGAGCUCGGACCUUGUUGGGUCACAGUUUUUUCGGCACAACACUGCGGGUACCCCGUGUGCUCACCCCCGGGGCUGCAGGGUCACAGAGCGGGGCUGGGGCGGCAGAGCCCCCACAGAAAUAGCCCCUUGUGUGAUGUUCAGCAGCUCGGCCAGUCCCUUCACUGAAAUAGGUCUCAUCUCCCACUUCUCACUAUUUCUGCUCCUGGUUUGUAAUCCUCCACCUCGCAUCUCCCUAAAUGAAUUUGCCUUUCCUCUGCCAAGCUCUCCCCCACACAGGAGAGGCCAGGCUGGGCGAUGCCUCCGGAGGUCACCUGCUCCAGCCUCCCGCUCACGGCAGAUGAAUUUCCCCUCCGGUUUCACACCCACCUCCAGGAACAUCUGAGCUACCGCUUUGUCAUUCUCCUCUCAGCAACACAAAUAUUGCUCUCGGAGACCAAGCGGCUGCAGGAGGGCUGUUUUUAAACAUAUACAGUGUUCUCUCUCAAGUUGGGAAUGGAUGUGAUAAAAAACACUCUUAGGUCCUGCUUCCCCUAAUUUGGAGGGACUAAACUGCAAAUGCCAGGUAUUUUUUUUCCUUUGUUGUGAUUCUGCUAAGCUGAUGGAGUUUUGCCCUCUUGUAUUGCUGUGGUUAAACAAGGAACAGGUGGAUGAUGUAGCAUCACACUUACAUCAUGCCUAAAACCUACCAAAUUCUCCUGGUUUUCCAUUAACCUUUAAUGGCUUAUGUAUAUGCAUAUCUUGGCAUGAACAUAAAGGGCAAAGUAGAGCGGCCAAGAAGCGAGACUUCAAUGCCAGUGGUAAAGGCAAGAUUUAUAUUUUAGUAUUGUUCUUAUUUUUCAGCCCUGAAUCAGUUCAUCCCACCACACUUCUCUACAAGAAGUAUUCUGGUGUUAAUAUUGAAUUACAGAGUGUGCUGAUCUGAUUGACCAGAGACAGGCAGAGCUCAAGCAUCGGCACUUCAGCCCCCGGCUCCGCUGGCUGCUUUAAACACUUUGAGAUCUGCAGUCUGGUUUGGUUUGUAAUCAGCAUCCUUGAACCCAACCCCUGCUCCUCCCCAAAUUUAGAAAUACUUUUGUUCAGCUUUACAUUUCUAAUCUACGCUUUUGAUUUUUUUUAAAUUCUUUUUUAUUAUUAUUAUUAUUUCUUAUGUGAAAAAAACCUCUGGUUUGUCUUGAAAUUCAACUUCUGCAUUGCGUUUUUGAUCAGGGAGUGGGAUAUAGGCUGGUCUCAGCAGACAGGCCGUGUGCUGCCAGGAAUGAAAAGGGACCAUGUCAGUGCCCUCAGUGGACAAAGAGCCUCCCCAUCCCUGCAGCUCCCGGUGCUGGGGGUGGCACAGGGGCCAGGUAAGAU